rnacentral:rRNA from 1 species
UCCUACGGGAGGCUGCAGUGGGGAAUAUUGCACAAUGGGCGAGAGCCUGAACCAGCCAAGUCGCGUGAAGGAAGACGGUUCUAUGAAUUGUAAACUUCUUUUGUAGAGGAAUAAAGUGGGUUACGUGUAGCCUUUUGUAUGUACUUUACGAAUAAGGAUCGGCUAACUCCGUGCCAGCAGCCGCGGUAAUACGGAGGAUCCAAGCGUUAUCCGGAUUUAUUGGGUUUAAAGGGUGCGUAGGUGGAUUGAUAAGUCAGCGGUGAAAGUUUGCAGCUUAACUGUAAAAUUGCCGUUGAAACUGUCAGUCUUGAGUGCAAAUGAGGUAGGCGGAAUGUGUUGUGUAGCGGUGAAAUGCUUAGAUAUAACACAGAACUCCGAUUGCGAAGGCAGCUUACUGGGAUGCAACUGACACUGAUGCACGAAAGCGUGGGUAUCAAACAGGAUUAGAUACCCUUGUAGUCG